ACAGUUGAAUAAUGUUGAUAAUUUUGUGUUUUUAUGAAUGUGUGUUAUUUGAACAUGAAAAAUCAAUAAAUUACUUUGAGAUUUUGUUCAACUUUUCAACACUUUCCAAAUUGCUUUAACAACUUGUGCUACAUGAAUCUUACAACAAACACUGUAUACUUGCAGAUCUGAGAGUAUUUUUACUACUGUGUUGUACCUAAACCAAUCAACAUUUCAUUGGGCCAAAUAAGUUUCAAGUUUGUGGACUCUUUUUACAUCUAAGUCAAAUUCACUAUCCACAAAGAAAAAGACUUAAACAUGUAGUAUAUAGAUAUUGUUGCUAUUUCAUAAAAAAUAAAACAAAGCAAACCAGCAAACAAACAAACAAAAACCUAAAAAUUCAUUGGCACAUUGCCUGCUCUUCAACGUUGUCUUCGUUGGCAUGAUUAACAUGCAAUGCUGUGCAAAGAAGUCUCUUUGAUAUUUGCAAAAAGAAAUUUUAACAAAGAAGUCUCUAUUGCAUAGAAACAUGGAACUACUAUUAAAGGUUAAAAAUAUGCUUAGAUUUUGGUGUUUCAAAAUGAAGCUUUAAAGACUACUAAAAAGAAUUCCACAUGCAUACUAUUACAGCUUGGCAGGUGGGUACAUACCUAACCAUAUUAAUGUAACAUAAUGGAUUGUUCCAAACAUUUCCAUAUUUGUAGAAUCAACAAAAAUUCCAAUACACCGAGACACAAUCUAAGUCCUCUUUGAUCGCACAUUGUUGAACAAAAUACUGUUACUUAAA
rnacentral:lncRNA from 1 species